rnacentral:rRNA from 1 species
AGAGUUUGAUCCUGGCUCAGGAUGAACGCUAGCGGGAGGCUUAACACAUGCAAGUCGAGGGGCAGCAUAGGGUAGCAAUACUCUGAUGGCGACCGGCGCACGGGUGAGUAACGCGUAUGUAACCUACCCUGUACAGGGGGAUAACCCGGAGAAACUCGGACUAAUACCCCAUAAAGAUAUAUUGAGGCAUCUCAGGAUAUUUAAAGUUCCGACGGUACGGGAUGGGCAUGCGUAACAUUAGCUAGUUGGCAGGGUAACGGCCUACCAAGGCUGCGAUGUUUAGGGGUCCUGAGAGGGUGAUCCCCCACACUGGUACUGAGACACGGACCAGACUCCUACGGGAGGCAGCAGUGAGGAAUAUUGGUCAAUGGGCGCAAGCCUGAACCAGCCAUCCCGCGUGAAGGAAGAAGGCGCUAUGCGUUGUAAACUUCUUUUGCAGGUCAAGAAUGUUGUCUACGUGUAGACAAUUGACGGUAACCUGUGAAUAAGCAUCGGCUAACUCCGUGCCAGCAGCCGCGGUAAUACGGAGGAUGCGAGCGUUAUCCGGAUUUAUUGGGUUUAAAGGGUGCGUAGGCGGACUGGUAAGUCAGUGGUGAAAUACUGCAGCUUAACUGUAGAAUUGCCGUUGAUACUGUCAGUCUUGAGUAUGGUUAAGGUAGGCGGAAUGUGUAAUGUAGCGGUGAAAUGCUUAGAUAUUACACAGAACACCGAUUGCGAAGGCAGCUUACUGAGCCAUAACUGACGCUGAGGCACGAAAGCGUGGGGAGCGAACAGGAUUAGAUACCCUGGUAGUCCACGCCGUAAAACGAUGAUCACUCGAUGUUAGCGAUACACUGUUAGCCGGCUAAGCAAAAGCAUUAAGUGAUCCCACCUGGGGAGUACGGCCCGCCAAGGCUGAAACUCAAAUGAAUUGACGG